CCUACGGGUGGCAGCAGUCGAGAAUCUUUCACAAUGGGGGCAACCCUGAUGGAGCGACGCCGCGUGGAGGAUAAGGUCUUCGGAUUGUAAACUCCUGUCAUGCGUGAACUGGUAGCGCAAGAGGAAGAGACGGCUAACUCUGUGCCAGCAGCCGCGGUAAUACAGAGGUCUCAAGCGUUGUUCGGAAUCACUGGGCGUAAAGGGUGCGUAGGUGGCGUGGUAAGUCAGAUGUGAAAGCCCAGGGCUCAACCCUGGAAUUGCAUCCGAUACUGCUGUGCUAGAGUACUGGAGGGGUGACUAGAAUUCUCGGUGUAGCAGUGAAAUGCGUAGAUAUCGAGAGGAAUACCAAAGGCGUAGGCAGGUCACUGGACGUACUGACACUGAGGCACGAAGGCCAGGGGAGCGAACGGGAUUAGAUACCCUAGUAGUC
rnacentral:rRNA from 1 species